UAGGGAAUUUUCGUCCAUGGGGGGAACCCUGAACGAGCAAUGCCGCGUGAGUGAGGAAGGUCUUCGGAUCGUAAAGCUCUGUUGUAAGAGAAAAACGGCACUCAUAGGGAAUGAUGAGUGAGUGAUGGUAUCUUACCAGAAAGUCACGGCUAACUACGUGCCAGCAGCCGCGGUAAUACGUAGGUGGCGAGCGUUAUCCGGAAUGAUUGGGCGUAAAGGGUGCGUAGGUGGCAGAUCAAGUCUGGAGUAAAAGGUAUGGGCUCAACCCGUACUGGCUCUGGAAACUGAUCAGCUAGAGAACAGAAGAGGACGGCGGAACUCCAUGUGUAGCGGUAAAAUGCGUAGAUAUAUGGAAGAACACCGGUGGCGAAGGCGGCCGUCUGGUCUGGAUUCUGACACUGAAGCACGAAAGCGUGGGGAGCAAAUAGGAUUAGAUACCCUAGUAGUCCACGCCGUAAACGAUGAGAACUAGGUGUUGGGGGGAAUAACUCAGUGCCGCAGUUAACGCAGUAAGUUCUCCGCCUGGGGAGUAUGCACGCAAGUGUGAAACUCAAAGGAAUUGACGGGGGCCCGCACAAGCGGUGGAGUAUGUGGUUUAAUUCGAAGCAACGCGAAGAACCUUACCAGGCCUUGACAUCCCUUGCAGAGGUAUAGAGAUAUAUCCGAGGUUAUCAAGGAGACAGGUGGUGCAUGGUUGUCGUCAGCUCGUGUCGUGAGAUGUUGGGUUAAGUCCCGCAACGAGCGCAACCCUUGUGAUAUGUUACUAACAUUGAGUUGAGGACUCAUAUCAGACUGCCGGUGAUAAACCGGAGGAAGGUGGGGAUGACGUCAAAUCAUCAUGCCCCUUAUGGCCUGGGCUACACACGUACUACAAUGGCGUCUACAAAGAGCGGCAAGCCUGUGAAGGCAAGCGAAUCUCAUAAAGGACGUCUCAGUUCGGAUUGAAGUCUGCAACCCGACUUCAUGAAGCUGGAAUCGCUAGUAAUCGCGAAUCAGCAUGUCGCGGUGAAUACGUUCUC
rnacentral:rRNA from 1 species